CCGUCCUCUCCCCCCGGGGCGUUCGUCGGCCGGGCUCAGCCAACCCCUAAGCUGUGGGUGUCCUGAGCGCCCCUCCGCCUCUGGGCCGCGUGCAGGAAAGCCGACCUCUGCCGCUGCCGGCCGGCCCUGGCUCGCGCGCGUUUCCCCACCCGCGUGUCCGCGUGCUUGGAAGUUUCCCGCAGCGCAGGCCUAAGCCCUCCGAGAUUAAAAGAAAAAGGAAAAAAAUCGUUCCCGUUUCCCGGAUAGGGAGUUUCAAAAAACUGCAGUCCCUUGGCUCAGCGGCCGGGCCGCCGUGGUUCUUGCGUUCUGGAUCUCGAGGCUGGGUUUCUCCACCGUGGCUGCUACAGGUUCCGUGUGGAAGCAGCUUUUCUAGAGCUGCCCUGGGAAUGAAGUCAACUCCCUGGAAGAUCAAAAGCAGAAGAAGGGCAUGGCAGAUGGCCCAGUGAGGACAGUUAGCCCAGAUUACAACAGAACGGAGCGAAACUGCGUCCAAAAGGUAAAUCUCUUUGGAAUGUACGAAAAAAACCUUGCUUGCCACCAAGCCAAAGCUGCAAAUGUCAUCGGAGACCAUGGGAGACCUGAAGCAGUGACCUCCCUACUUCCCUAUGACCUGCUUACCUGAGGUACCUACUGACGUAUUUGAAAAGUAUUUUAUUUAUGACCUUUGUUCUGGUACUAUAAAGACUUCAUGGAACUGUUACCAUGUUAAAAUGUGGUACUUACAGUAACCUAAAUAUGUGUUCUCCGGUCAUGGUCACAUUUGGCUCCAGAAUAAAGUAUCUCUUGUGUUAAAAAUUGACUAUGACAACAGUGGAAAUGCCCUCUUAGGACCCCCUAAUGGUUAUUCCAGCUCUGUAUAGCAGCUACCUCCCCGUGU